AUUUUGAAGCCGCGUACGAAUCGGAGGCUCCGGAUCGGGCUUCGAAUUUGAGGCUUCGAUUUUGGCUGAAAACAGCGCCAGGCGAAGCCUCCUCAAGAGGUGGCUUCGCCAGGCUUCAUGACGUCAGAUUCGGGAUGAUAAAUCUUUUUCUUGCGGCAGCCAUUAAAAUCCUCGGUUACCGUUCAAUAAAAUUGACAAAUUUGGCUCUUUUGAUUGUGUUUUACUAUUAAUAACAACAGUCUUCACCUGAUAUAUCACCCAUGAGAAGGCGAACAAUUUGCAUCAAUGAUAUUAAGAGUUGGAAGAGUGACUUUGGUGUGAGGAAAACCACCCGGCCUAGGUUCAAGUCUAUAGGGGCAAAAGGAUACUUGAACACUGCCCAUAUCUGUCAGUUACAAGGAUCUGCAGAAAAGCAUCAAUGUGAGAAGCGUAACAUGUGCUAGCCAGUUCCGCAUCAAAGCGAAAGACCUGUUAGUUCAUUUCAGAACAAUAUAAGAUGUCACCAGUAGGCCUGGGCAACAAGUGAAGUUUACUACUCAUCUAGUGUCAAAAACAUUGUAGUCACGACUUUGACACUAGUUGUGACUAUUUUAAACUCCUAAGAUACAUUGCGGCAAGUUGUUUGCCGCAGGCCCAAUCAAGUAAAAUUUGUGCUAAAAGGAUUGAAGUUGUAGGGAAUAGGCAAGAGCGACACAAUGGGAGACUUUCCAACGCUAGGUGGCAGCAGACUUACCGGGUAAACUUCCAUUGUUUACGUAGUUAUGAGCUUGCACAUAAUUCUGCGAACAUGGCUUUACCCGGUAAGUCUGCUGCCACCUAUCGUCCUAGAAAGUUUCCUAGUCGUGACUGUUUUUUAGUAGUCAUGGUAGCACGUCGAGUAAUGUGAGUAGUUGAAAAAUGGUAUUUGUAACUCGACAAGGCAAUCAAUAGUCUCCACUUCGACACUUGUCUGUCACACUAGUCGCUCAGGCUUAGUCAUCAGUAGAGGAAAUAUCACUGGUGAUUAAGCAGAAGAAACUUCACCUGUGUCGAUAAAGAUAUAAAGCUCAAUUCUAACUCUGUAAAGUAACAUAAAGCAAACUGACCUGUCCUUAUUUGCAAUUUUUUGCUAGCAAUUAUUCUACAGCUGAAAAAUACAAUUAGAAAAAACUUGACAAUUCCGAAAUACUAACCUAACAGUUGACGAAAUAAUUAUGUUUCUUGACUUUAAAGUGGAGAUCAUCAUAAUUGCAAUGAACUUAAAAGUUGUUAAGUAACCUAACAUUUUCCCAGCCUCAUGGGAGAACACAAACAAUCAUUUAUUAGCACCGUCUUUGUAAUCUUAAAAAAAGUUAUUUAAACAAUCAAUUGCUGUAAAUUGAUACUUCUUUUGUUUAAAAGUAACUCAAUUUAUGAUAAAAUAAAGUUUUCAUUGUUGUGCAGUAUAGCUUGUAUGCAGUUUUUACUUGAUAGUCAGAGUAAUGUUAUUUUUAUUCUAAAAGAAUACUAUAGUUUUCAAAUAACAGAACAUACCUUUCGAAAUUUCCCUGCUUUCCAGUUUCAAUGCAAGGCAUGUUGUUGACAUAUAUUACAACAAAAUAAAGCUAUGUUUUCAGAACAUUUUUGGUCCGUUUCGUUGUUGAUGAAAACAACCAUCAUUUGUUGGCUUUCACUAAAAUAAGUCAUUUUACAAUCAAGUGAAGCUAAAAAGUGGGCUGCUCUAAGUUAUUGAGGUAUUUUUACAAUAUUAAACCAUCAGAAAGCAAAUAUGCGUUUGUUACAAUACAAA